AGUGGCGGACGGGUGAGUAACGCGUGAGAAUCUGCCUUGGGGUCGGGGACAACCACUGGAAACGGUGGCUAAUACCGGAUAAGCCGAUUGGUGAAGGAUUUAUUGCCCGAAGAGGAGCUCGCGUCUGAUUAGCUAGUUGGUGAGGUAAGAGCUCACCAAGGCAGCGAUCAGUAGCUGGUCUGAGAGGACGAUCAGCCACACUGGGACUGAGACACGGCCCAGACUCCUACGGGAGGCAGCAGUGGGGAAUUUUCCGCAAUGGGCGAAAGCCUGACGGAGCAAGACCGCGUGAGGGAGGAAGGCUCUUGGGUUGUAAACCUCUUUUCUCAGGGAAGAAGCUCUGACGGUACCUGAGGAAUCAGCCUCGGCUAACUCCGUGCCAGCAGCCGCGGUAAUACGGAGGAGGCAAGCGUUAUCCGGAAUUAUUGGGCGUAAAGCGUCCGCAGGUGGCGAUUCAAGUCUGCUGUCAAAGCACGGGGCUUAACUCCGUAAAGGCAGUGGAAACUGAAUAGCUAGAGUGCCGUAGGGGUAGAGGGAAUUCCCGGUGUAGCGGUGAAAUGCGUAGAGAUCGGGAAGAACAUCGGUGGCGAAAGCGCUCUACUGGACGGCAACUGACACUCAGGGACGAAAGCUAGGGGAGCGAAUGGGAUUAGAUACCCC
rnacentral:rRNA from 1 species